UUACAUGAUAUUUUUAUCGAGAUGGAAC
rnacentral:sRNA from 1 species